rnacentral:rRNA from 1 species
GAUGAACGCUGGCGGCGUGCCUAAUACAUGCAAGUCGAGCGAACGGACGAGAAGCUUGCUUCUCUGAUGUUAGCGGCGGACGGGUGAGCAACACGUGGAUAACCUACCUAUAAGACUGGGAUAACUUCGGGAAACCGGAGCUAAUACCGGAUAAUAUUUUGAACCGCAUGGUUCAAAAGUGAAAGACGGUCUUGCUGUCACUUAUAGAUGGAUCCGCGCUGCAUUAGCUAGUUGGUAAGGUAACGGCUUACCAAGGCAACCAUGCAUAGCCGACCUGAGAGGGUGAUCGGCCACACUGGAACUGAGACACGGUCCAGACUCCUACGGGAGGCAGCAGUAGGGAAUCUUCCGCAAUGGGCGAAAGCCUGACGGAGCAACGCCGCGUGAGUGAUGAAGGUCUUCGGAUCGUAAAACUCUGUUAUUAGGGAAGAACAUAUGUGUAAGUAACUGUGCACAUCUUGACGGUACCUAAUCAGAAAGCCACGGCUAACUACGUG